rnacentral:rRNA from 1 species
AUGGAAGGAACAAGAGGUGGAAGUGAGCUCCCUGCAUACGAACAAUCAAGAGUUAGGCUCGUAGCAGACAUGAAUUGUACAGCCAUGCACGUGACUGCAUAUCAAUUGAUGAGAAAACAACCUGAAGAAGCAGCUGAACCGCCAACAACACUUGCAAUGGAAAUUCAAUUUUGUCGACAAGAUGAACAUGUUUCUACUCUACUAGAGCUCACGGAACAAAUGCAACGAAAAAUUGGAGAGAUGCAUCAAGUUCUCUUUUCUCAAGGAAUCAGAAAUGUCGAAAUACCAGUGCAACCCCCAUUAUCAUGCAAACAGUAUCAAAUUCAUGAAUACAUUCCUGACCUCGCACAUCAAAUCACCGGUCUGAUCUUGUUGUCCAACGACCGAGAGUUCCGAGACGAAUGCGUGGCACUCCUCAGGAAACAUAGGGACAUAUGGCAGAAAGUAGGAAGUCCACAAGUUGAUCUAAGAUGUUCCAGUGAUCGCUUUUGUUCAUUACAUAUGGAAGUUGAUGUCGGCUUGUGA